rnacentral:rRNA from 1 species
GACGAACGCUGGCGGCGCGCCUAACACAUGCAAGUCGAACGAGCGAGAGAGAGCUUGCUUUCUCGAGCGAGUGGCGAACGGGUGAGUAACGCGUGAGGAACCUGCCUCAAAGAGGGGGACAACAGUUGGAAACGACUGCUAAUACCACAUAAGCCCACGGCUCGGCAUCGAGCAGAGGGAAAAGGAGCAAUCCGCUUUGAGAUGGCCUCGCGUCCGAUUAGCUAGUUGGUGAGGUAACGGCCCACCAAGGCGACGAUCGGUAGCCGGACUGAGAGGUUGAACGGCCACAUUGGGACUGAGACACGGCCCAGACUCCUACGGGAGGCAGCAGUGGGGAAUAUUGCACAAUGGGGGAAACCCUGAUGCAGCGACGCCGCGUGGAGGAAGAAGGUCUUCGGAUUGUAAACUCCUGUUGUUGAGGAAGAUAAUGACGGUACUCAACAAGGAAGUGACGGCUAACUACGUG